ensembl:lncRNA
GGACUACUUCUCCCACCUCAUCGAGCCGGGCGCGACAAACGCCGUCACACGAUACACUCUUCCCGGCAUCCACGGCCUCAACUUUGUCCUGCAGAGCUCGCUGGGAGGGGGAGGGGUGGCGUCUCUACGCAGCGACCCCCAGGUAACACACACGCACACACAGACACGCACACACAGACACACACUGCUUCCUGCCUCUCAUCACAGCGUCCCUCAAAGAGCUGCAGAGGAACCAGGCGCAGCUGAGAUCUAACCUGGUUCAAGUACUUUUCCCCCUCGAUACAUUUAUCGUGUUUAUGUUGUUUUGAUAAAAUAUGAUUCAUUUAUUAGAUCCGAUGCAUGAACCAUGUUUUCGCUCAUGAUGCCUGUUGGACCGUCAGUCAUCAGCAAAAAGAUUCUUUACUUUAGAUUUUACUCAAGUAAAAUAUCCGUUCUUCUGGCUAAAGGUUUGAAUACGUCUCCUCUUCGUGGGGAUAAUGUCAGAUACAACGUGCCCUUUGACCUCUUUAUCUUUCUUCUUCCUUCUCAACCUCCUCCCACUUUCCUCCUCUUCUUCCCUUGUUUACUGCCUCCACUUUACAUGAAAGAAACACACUCUCUGUGCCCACACACACACACACACACACACACACACAUUACGGUGGUUGUUGUUGUUGUUGUUGUGGGAACAAACUGAGCUGUGAUGUUUCUUCUUCUCUCAGGGAAAAGCUUACGGUCAGAUGCUGCUGGACGUGAAGCUGCACGGACUCCCCGACCUCAAGUCCCUGGUGGACUGAGACACUCUGGACCACCACAAAAGAAGAGAGAGAGCAAAGAGAAACACGAAAGGACAUUUUAGCUCAACAGAACGAGGAGAAACCAGAUGAAACGCCAAACCACAGGCUCGGCCAACGUUAGCUAACGUUAGCUAACGCAUUUAAAUCAACCAGAGUAGAUGAUUAAGGAGCAACACGUUGAAAUAGAGGAACACGACUCGCACUAAACCUGGGCUCCGGCUUCAAGGGACCUGACCUCUGUGACCCCGGCGGUUUGGAGACAUCAGGCCUCAGGUUGGUGUGCACGCCCCCCCCCCACCUCCUUCACCUCGACGCGACCCGGCUCCGGUGUUCGCCGGGCUGCAGGAAUGUGCGUCUGCUUCCACCAGAGCACCGUCCCUCCGGCUUCCAGGCUGCUUUUCUGUAAUUGCAAACAGACCGAGAGUUUGUUCUCUACAGCUUCCGUCAACUCAGGACUCCCCCACCCCCCAAAUCCUCCUCCUCCUCGGAGAGAGAAGAGAUCUCCCCCUCUUUGGACGCAUUACUCUUUCCUGGCAACCGCUUUGGUACUUUCACUUCUCUGAUGCUUUGGGGAAUUAUACAUUUUUGUGUAUUUAAUCUUAUUUUUCAGCUGCUGCAUUCGUGAGCUCUGAGUGUUUUCACUCAAACACAGAGAAGAACCACAUGAGACCUUCUGCCAGGAAGAAAAAGCAAAACCACGAUCCUCCGAACAGACUUACGGAGAGAUUUACACGCAAUAAAAUCCUAAAAUAACCCACAACAACGAGAGUCCUUCCACAAACAAAUUGAGCACAGACGCGCGAGUAUCAAUCAACAAAUAUUCGCCUCAGAAGAAUCCACGGGCUCCUCUGGAGUUCAACGGACGCCGCCGAGGUGGUCCCAUCGUUUUUAGCGAGGUGUUGAAAUCCAGGCUGUAAAUUCCAGCUCAGUUUCCCGUUUUCAUAAAAAAGAAAGCUCCGAUUUCAUGUGGAAUCUCGCAUCCGCCUGCUAAUUAGUCACCGUGGAAUAAGUUCUAGCAGCUAAAUGUUCACACGUCGCGGCUGACGGGAAAGACGGUUUGGUGUUUGAUUUUAAACCUUAAGCGACAUGUUCUCUCUCUCAGUAUGAAGCUAAAUAGAAGGAACACUUGUAAUAUGAACUUCAGAAAUAAAUAUGUUUGAAAAAAUCUGUCCUCCAGAAUAUUCUGCAGCGGACGAGCCUGUUAGUCUGCACUGAACUCAUGAAUGUUCAGUAUUUGUUGGUGAAAAAGCAGUGGCCCCAGGAUGGAACUGUGUGUGUGUGUGUGUGUGUGUGUGUGUGUGUGUGUGUGUGUGCGUGUGUGUGUGUGUGUGUGCAUAUAUAACAUGGAGUCUGAGCCUUUCUUUGGGUUUAUUCACCUCUUAAGUUUUAACAUCACUUGUUUCUUCCAAGAACUUUUCUCCAAAUGAAGUAAUGAAAGUUUGAUUCCGUGCUUUCUUUAUUUUUAUCACUUCAUGCUUUUAAGGAGCCGAUUU